rnacentral:tRNA from 1 species
GGGCUCGUCCGGGAUUUGAACCCGAGACCUCUCGCGCCCAAAGCGAGAAUCAUACCCCUAGACCAACGAGCC